UACUCUAAUUACGUCGCCACCUUACGCUGUACCCAUAGCAACAAAUCAGUUCGCGCGGUAACUUUGAUAGUCUGCCGCUAACCGUUACUCAUUUUAGAGAGAAGAAAGUACUCAUUACGACUUGGAUGGAAAAUACAGUUACAUGUGCAUUUUUUUGCAAAAUAAGUCACAAGGGUGUCUUACAUUGAUUGUAAACAAGUAAGGUUGCCUACCUGUUAUAUCUAGAAAAUUAACUGCUAUCCUCUGCUAAGUCAUCAUGAGAGGAGGGUGACAAUCACGAGGAAGGCGAAGAAGGACAAUGGUUCUUCAUCCUGUUUAUCUUCUUGCUUGGGAACAUCCAGACGGUCUAUGAAGCUCUGCAGCUCCUUUCUGAAGGCUUUCAUUUGGGCGUUGAUACGAUACAGCAGCUCAUGCUCUCUAAUCCUGUGGAACAGAGCCUAGCAAAAAGCUCCCCAUUGGUGACAUACACCCGGGCCUCUGCGAUGAUAGUGCUGGUGUCAGCGAUGAGCCUGUCGAUGGUCCGGCC